UACGUAGGUGGCAAGCGUUUGUCCGGAUUUACUGGGCGUAAAGAGCGCGCAGGCGGUCGGAUAAGUCGAAUGUGAAAGCCCCCGGCUCAACUGGGGAGGGUCAUUCGAUACUGAUCGACUCGAAGGCAGGAGAGGGUAGUGGAAUUCCCGGUGUAGUGGUGAAAUGCGUAGAUAUCGGAAGGAACAUCAGUGGCGAAGGCGACUUCCUGGACCAAUACUGACGCUCAGGUGCGAAAGCGUGGGGAGCAAACAGG
rnacentral:rRNA from 1 species